AUUGAACGCUGGCGGCAGGCCUAACACAUGCCAGUCGAACGGUAACAGAAAGCAGCUUGCUGCUUUGCUGACGAGUGGCGGACGGGUGAGUAAUGUCUGGGAAACUGCCUGAUGGAGGGGGAUAACUACUGGAAACGGUAGCUAAUACCGCAUAACGUCGCAAGACCAAAGAGGGGGACCUUCGGGCCUCUUGCCAUCGGAUGUGCCCAGAUGGGAUUAGCUAGUAGGUGGGGUAACGGCUCACCUAGGCGACGAUCCCUAGCUGGUCUGAGAGGAUGACCAGCCACACUGGAACUGAGACACGGUCCAGACUCCUACGGGAGGCAGCAAUGGGGAAUAUUGCACAAUGGGCGCAAGCCUGAUGCAGCCAUGCCGCGUGUAUGAAGAAGGCCUUCGGGUUGUAAAGUACUUUCAGCGGGGAGGAAGGGAGUAAAGUUAAUACCUUUGCUCAUUGACGUUACCCGCAGAAGAAGCACCGGCUAACUCCGUG
rnacentral:rRNA from 1 species